rnacentral:rRNA from 1 species
AUGGUUCAAUGCUGCCUCAAGAGAAAAGCCCCCACGCUGGUCUUCAAGCUCGACUUCUCCAAGGCCUUCGACUGCAUCAACUGGGCGAGUUUGCGCGUGAUCAUGCUAGCUCGGGGGUUUCCGGUGCUGUGGUGUGAUUCAAUGGAUGCGAUCCUCCGGUCCUCCCACUUUGCUGUGCUUCUCAAUGGCGUCCCUGGGAGGUGGUUCCCCCUUCGAUGCGGGCUUCGCCAGGGGGAUCCAGUCUCCCCCUACCUCUUCCUCCUGGUCGCGGACGUGCUCCAGUGGCUCAUU